UUGUUUUAAUGUGUCAGACUUUAUAUUUUUGUUGCCACUCUUUUUAGGGAUAAUAGAAUCGUGAAGUUGUAAAAGUUUGUCUGGAGAAAAUAACUUUAUUGGCUUAACAUGUUGAAACAUUUUCAAACUAAUUUUAAUAAUUUAUGAUUUAAGUGGUACUUCUACCAGUGAUAUUUUACGAUACUUAAUCUACUCUUGUGUAUUUCAGGACGUAAGUCUCUG
rnacentral:lncRNA from 1 species